GACGAACGCUGGCGGCGCGCCUAACACAUGCAAGUCGAACGAGCAAGGAAGAGAAAGCUUGCUUUCUUUGCGAGUGGCGAACGGGUGAGUAACGCGUGAGGAACCUGCCUCAAAGAGGGGGACAACAGUUGGAAACGACUGCUAAUACCGCAUAAGCCCACAGCUCGGCAUCGAGCAGAGGGAAAAGGAGCAAUCCGCUUUGAGAUGGCCUCGCGUCCGAUUAGCUAGUUGGUGAGGUAAUGGCCCACCAAGGCGACGAUCGGUAGCCGGACUGAGAGGUUGAACGGCCACAUUGGGACUGAGACACGGCCCAGACUCCUACGGGAGGCAGCAGUGGGGAAUAUUGCACAAUGGGGGAAACCCUGAUGCAGCGACGCCGCGUGGAGGAAGAAGGUCUUCGGAUUGUAAACUCCUGUUGCUGAGGAAGAUAAUGACGGUACUCAACAAGGAAGUGACGGCUAACUACGUGCCAGCAGCCGCGGUAAAACGUAGGUCACAAGCGUUGUCCGGAAUUACUGGGUGUAAAGGGAGCGCAGGCGGGAAGGCAAGUUGGAAGUGAAAUCCAUGGGCUCAACCCAUGAACUGCUUUCAAAACUGUUUUUCUUGAGUAGUGCAGAGGUAGGCGGAAUUCCCGGUGUAGCGGUGGAAUGCGUAGAUAUCGGGAGGAACACCAGUGGCGAAGGCGGCCUACUGGGCACCAACUGACGCUGAGGCUCGAAAGUGUGGGUAGCAAACAGGAUUAGAUACCCUGGUAGUCCACACUGUAAACGAUGAUUACUAGGUGUUGGAGGAUUGACCCCUUCAGUGCCGCAGUUAACACAAUAAGUAAUCCACCUGGGGAGUACGACCGCAAGGUUGAAACUCAAAGGAAUUGACGGGGGCCCGCACAAGCAGUGGAGUAUGUGGUUUAAUUCGACGCAACGCGAAGAACCUUACCAAGUCUUGACAUCCUGCGACGGUGCUGGAAACAGUACUUUCCUUCGGGACGCAGAGACAGGUGGUGCAUGGUUGUCGUCAGCUCGUGUCGUGAGAUGUUGGGUUAAGUCCCGCAACGAGCGCAACCCUUAUGGUCAGUUACUACGCAAGAGGACUUUGGCCAGACUGCCGUUGACAAAACGGAGGAAGGUGGGGAUGACGUCAAAUCAUCAUGCCCUUUAUGACUUGGGCUACACACGUACUACAAUGGCGUUAAACAAAGAGAAGCAAGACCGCGAGGUGGAGCAAAACUCAGAAACAACGUCCCAGUUCGGACUGCAGGCUGCAACUCGCCUGCACGAAGUCGGAAUUGCUAGUAAUCGCAGAUCAGCAUGCUGCGGUGAAUACGUUCCCGGGCCU
rnacentral:rRNA from 1 species